ACGCUGGCAGAACGCACUUCACGGUUGA
rnacentral:sRNA from 1 species